GCCAGCAGCCAUAUCACCCUGCAACUCACAACUGGCAGCCCUCUGAAGCUAAGAAGGUGUGAGCCUAGGCAGUACCUGGAUGGGAGACCUCCUGGGAAAAACUAAGGUUGCUGCUGGAA
rfam:Lepisosteus oculatus linkage group LG18, whole genome shotgun sequence.